GUGGGGAAUAUUGGACAAUGGGCGCAAGCCUGAUCCAGCCAUACCGCGUGGGUGAAGAAGGCCUUCGGGUUGUAAAGCCCUUUUGUUGGGAAAGAAAUCCAGCUGGUUAAUACCCGGUUGGGAUGACGGUACCCAAAGAAUAAGCACCGGCUAACUUCGUGCCAGCAGCCGCGGUAAUACGAAGGGUGCAAGCGUUACUCGGAAUUACUGGGCGUAAAGCGUGCGUAGGUGGUCGUUUAAGUCCGUUGUGAAAGCCCUGGGCUCAACCUGGGAACUGCAGUGGAUACUGGGCGACUAGAGUGUGGUAGAGGGUAGCGGAAUUCCUGGUGUAGCAGUGAAAUGCGUAGAGAUCAGGAGGAACAUCCAUGGCGAAGGCAGCUACCUGGACCAACACUGACACUGAGGCACGAAAGCGUGGGGAGCAAACAGGAUUAGAAACCCUAGUAGUCC
rnacentral:rRNA from 1 species